rnacentral:rRNA from 1 species
AUUGCCUCAGUAACGGCGAGUGAAGCGGCAAAAGCUCAAAUUUGAAAUCUGGCACCUUCGGUGUCCGAGUUGUAAUUUGAAGAAGGUAACUUUGGAGUUGGCUCUUGUCUAUGUUCCUUGGAACAGGACGUCACAGAGGGUGAGAAUCCCGUGCGAUGAGAUGUCCAAUUCUAUGUAAAGUGCUUUCGAAGAGUCGAGUUGUUUGGGAAUGCAGCUCUAAGUGGGUGGUAAAUUCCAUCUAAAGCUAAAUAUUGGCGAGAGACCGAUAGCGAACAAGUACAGUGAUGGAAAGAUGAAAAGAACUUUGAAAAGAGAGUGAAAAAGUACGUGAAAUUGUUGAAAGGGAAGGGCUUGAGAUCAGACUUGGUAUUUUGCAAGCCUUACCCUCGUGGUGGGGUCCCCUGCAGUUUACUGGGCCAGCAUCGGUUUGGAUGGUGGGAUAAUGACAUUGGAAUGUGGCUCUGCUUCGGUAGAGUGUUAUAGACUUUGUUGAUACCACCUGUCUAGACCGAGGACUGCGUCUUUGACUAGGAUGUUGGCAUAAU